GACGAACGCUGGCGGCGUGCUUAACACAUGCAAGUCGAACGGAAAGGCCCUGCUUUUGUGGGGUGCUCGAGUGGCGAACGUGUGAGUAACACGUGAGUAACCUGCCCUUGACUUUGGUAUAACUUCAGGAAACUGGGGCUAAUACCGGAUAGGAGCUCCUGCUGCAUGGUGGGGGUUGGAAAGUUUCGGCGGUUGGGGAUGGACUCGCGGCUUAUCAGCUUGUUGGUGGGGUAGUGGCUUACCAAGGCUUUGACGGGUAGCCGGCCUGAGAGGGUGACCGGCCACAUUGGGACUGAGAUACGGCCCAGACUCCUACGGGAGGCAGCAGUGGGGAAUAUUGCACAAUGGGCGGAAGCCUGAUGCAGCAACGCCGCGUGCGGGAUGACGGCCUUCGGGUUGUAAACCGCUUUCGCCUGUGACGAAGCGUGAGUGACGGUAAUGGGUAAAGAAGCACCGGCUAACUACGUG
rnacentral:rRNA from 1 species